CCUACGGGAGGCAGCAGUGAGGAAUAUUGGGCAAUGGGCGCGAGCCUGAACCAGCCAAGUAGCGUGAAGGAUGACUGCCCUACGGGUUGUAAACUUCUUUUAUAAAGGAAUAAAGUGAUGCACGUGUGCCUUUUUGUAUGUACUUUAUGAAUAAGGAUAGGCUAACUCAGUGCCAGCAGCCGCGGUAAUACGGAGGAUCCGAGCGUUAUGCGGAGUGAUUGGGUUUAAAGGGAGCGUAGAUGGGUUGUUAAGUCAGUUGUGAAAGUUUGCGGCUCAACCGUAAAAUUGCAAUUGAUACUGGAAGUCUUGAGUACAGGUGAGGUAGGCGGAAUUCGUGGUGUAGCGGUGAAAUGCUUAGAUAUCACGAAGAACUCCGAUUGCGAAGGCAGCUUACUAAACUGCCACUGACAUUGAUGCUCGAAAGUGUGGGUAUCAAACAGGAUUAGAUACCCCAGUAGUC
rnacentral:rRNA from 1 species